rnacentral:lncRNA from 1 species
GUAAGCGCAACCCUGCAUGGCCUGUGCCAGUGCCUGCCUCCAGGUUUGAGUUCCUGUCCUGGCUUCCUUUGAUGAACAGUGAUAUGCAAGUGUGGAGUCUUAUGUAGCUCAGGCUAGCCUUGAACUCUGUGAAUGACCUUGAACUUCAGACCCUAGUGCCUCCACCUCCUCUGUUCUGAGAGUCCAGGAGUGAGCUACAACACCUGGCUUUAUGGCCUGCUAGAGAGAGAACUCAGGACCACGUACAUAAGUUAAGCACUCUGCCAACUGAGCUACAUCCCUUGGGGCUGGCUUCAAACUCAUUAUGUCGUGGAGGAUAACCUUGGCCUUCUGACGCCUUGACCUCCCAAGUGCUGGAGUCGUAAGAGGCCUGCAUUACCACGCCUGGCUUAUGUGGUGCAGAGAAUGGAACCCAGACCUUUACAUAGCUGUCUGUCUCGUUUUUCAAGUGGGCCCUAGGGUCCUUAGGCUUUGGCUAAAAACUUGUUGAGCCAUCUCACUGGCCCACCUGCAAAGUUUUAAAAGAAAUUGGAGUUAGUUUUUUAUAGGGUCGAUCAGCCUUCUGUGUUCUGUGAAAAUGCACAUACACAAAUAAAAAAAAAGUAAUUUAGAAA